rnacentral:rRNA from 1 species
UGGGGAAUAUUGCACAAUGGGCGCAAGCCUGAUGCAGCCAUGCCGCGUGUGUGAAGAAGGCCUUCGGGUUGUAAAGCACUUUCAGCGAGGAGGAAGGUGGUGAACUUAAUACGUUCAUCAAUUGACGUUACUCGCAGAAGAAGCACCGGCUAACUCCGUGCCAGCAGCCGCGGUAAUACGGAGGGUGCAAGCGUUAAUCGGAAUUACUGGGCGUAAAGCGCACGCAGGCGGUUUGUUAAGUCAGAUGUGAAAUCCCCGGGCUCAACCUGGGAACUGCAUUUGAAACUGGCAAGCUAGAGUCUCGUAGAGGGGGGUAGAAUUCCAGGUGUAGCGGUGAAAUGCGUAGAGAUCUGGAGGAAUACCGGUGGCGAAGGCGGCCCCCUGGACGAAGACUGACGCUCAGGUGCGAAAGCGUGGGGAGCAAACAGAUUAGNUACCCUGGUAGUCCACGCUGUAAAACGAUGUCGAUUUUGGAGG